rnacentral:rRNA from 1 species
CCUACGGGUGACAGCAGUGGUGGAUAUUGCACAAUGGGGGAAACCCUGAUGCAGCGACGCCGCGUGGGCGAAGAAGUAUUUCGGUAUGUAAAGCCCUAUCAGCAGGGACGAAGAACUCACUGUACCUGCGUCAGUAGCACCGGCUAAAUACUUUCCAGCAGCCGCGGUAAUACGUAUGGUGCAAGCGUUAUCCGGAUUUACUGGGUGUAAAGGGAGCGCAGGCGGCACGGCAACCCUGGGGUGAAAGCCCGCGGCCCAACCGCGGGACUGCAUUGGGAACUACCGGGCUGGAGUGCCGGAGAGGUAGGCGGAAUUCCUGGUGUAGCGGGGAAAGGCGUAGAUAUUAGGAGGAACACCAGUGGCGAAGGCGGCCUACUGGACGGUGACUGACGCUGAGGCUCGAAAGCGUGGGGAGCAAACAGGAUUAGAUACCCCGGUAGUC